rnacentral:rRNA from 1 species
UUCCCCUAGUAACUGCGAGUGAAGCGGGAAAAGCUCAAAUUUAAAAUCUGGCAGUCUCUGGCUGUCCGAGUUGUAAUCUAGAGAAGCGUUAUCCGCGCUGGACCGUGUACAAGUCUCCUGGAAUGGAGCGUCAUAGAGGGUGAGAAUCCCGUCUUUGACACGGACUGCCAGGGCUUUGUGAUGCGCUCUCAAAGAGUCGAGUUGUUUGGGAAUGCAGCUCAAAAUGGGUGGUAAAUUCCAUCUAAAGCUAAAUAUUGGCGAGAGACCGAUAGCGAACAAGUACCGUGAGGGAAAGAUGAAAAGAACUUUGGAAAGAGAGUUAAACAGUACGUGAAAUUGCUGAAAGGGAAACGCUUGAAGUCAGUCGCGUUGGCCAGGGAUCAACCUUGCUUUUGCUUGGUGUACUUUCUGGUUGACGGGUCAGCAUCAAUUUUGAUCAUUGGAAAAAGGUCAGGGGAAUGUGGCAUCUUCGGAUGUGUUAUAGCCCUUGGUUGCAUACAAUGGUUGGGAUUGAGGAACUCAGCACGCCGCAAGGCCGGGUUUUAACCACGUACGUGCUUAGGAUGCUGGCAUAAUGGCUUUAAUCGACCCGUCUUGAAACACGGACCAAGGAGUCUAACAUGCCUGCGAGUGUUUGGGUGGAAAACCCGAGCGCGCAAUGAAAGUGAAAGUUGAGAUCCCUGUCGUGGGGAGCAUCGACGCCCGGACCAGACCUUUUGUGACGGUUCCGCGGUAGAGCAUGUAUGUUGGGACCCGAAAGAUGGUGAACUAUGCCUGAAUAGGGUGAAGCCAGAGGAAACUCUGGUGGAGGCUCGUAGCGAUUCUGACGUGCAAAUCGAUCGUCAAAUUUGGGUAUAGGGGCGAAAGACUAAUCGAACCAUCUAGUAGCUGG